ACGAACGCUGGCGGCGUGCUUCACACAUGCAAGUCGAACGGUGAACUCCGCUUGCGGGGGGAUCAGUGGCGAACGGGUGAGUAACACGUGGGCAACCUGCCCUCAGCUCUGGGAUAACUCCAAGAAAUUGGGGCUAAUACCGGAUAUGACCGCUGACCGCAUGGUCUGGUGGUGGAAAGAUUUAUCGGCUGGGGAUGGGCCCGCGGCCUAUCAGCUUGUUGGUGGGGUAGUGGCCUACCAAGGCGACGACGGGUAGCCGGCCUGAGAGGGUGACCGGCCACACUGGGACUGAGACACGGCCCAGACUCCUACGGGAGGCAGCAGUGGGGAAUAUUGCGCAAUGGGCGAAAGCCUGACGCAGCGACGCCGCGUGGGGGAUGACGGCCUUCGGGUUGUAAACCUCUUUCAGCAGGGACGAAGCGAAAGUGACAGUACCUGCAGAAGAAGCACCGGCCAACUACGUG
rnacentral:rRNA from 1 species